rnacentral:pre_miRNA from 1 species
AUAUUACUCCCUCCGUUCGGAAUUACUCGUCUAAGAAAUGAAUGUAUCUAGACGUAUUUUAGUUGUAGAUACAUCCAUUUUUGUGACAAAUAAUUCCGAACGGAGUGAGUAGAUU